rnacentral:rRNA from 1 species
UGCCAGCCGCCGCGGUAAUACGGAGGGGGUUAGCGUUGUUCGGAAUUACUGGGCGUAAAGCGUACGUAGGUGGUUAAAAAAGUUGAUGGUGAAAUCCCAAGGCUUAACCUUGGAACUGCCAUCAAAACUUUUUAGCUAGAGUAUGAUAGAGGAAAGUGGAAUUUCUAGUGUAGAGGUGAAAUUCGUAGAUAUUAGAAAGAACAUCAAAAGCGAAGGCAACUUUCUGGGUCAUUACUGACACUGAGGAGCGAAAGCAUGGGUAGCGAAGAGGAUUAGAUA